rnacentral:rRNA from 1 species
GGCGAACGCUGGCGGCGUGCUUAACACAUGCAAGUCGAACGGAAAGGCCCAGCUUGCUGGGUGCUCGAGUGGCGAACGGGUGAGUAACACGUGGGUGAUCUGCCUCUAACUUCGGGAUAAGCUUGGGAAACUGGGUCUAAUACCGGAUAGGACAAUCGUUUAGUGUCGGUUGUGGAAAGUUUUUUCGGUUAGGGAUGAGCCCGCGGCCUAUCAGCUUGUUGGUGGGGUAAUGGCCUACCAAGGCGUCGACGGGUAGCCGGCCUGAGAGGGUGGACGGCCACAUUGGGACUGAGAUACGGCCCAGACUCCUACGGGAGGCAGCAGUGGGGAAUAUUGCACAAUGGGCGCAAGCCUGAUGCAGCGACGCCGCGUGGGGGAUGACGGCCUUCGGGUUGUAAACCUCUUUCGACAGGGACGAAGCUUUGGUGACGGUACCUGUAUAAGAAGCACCGGCUAACUACGUG